GCCGAACGCUGGCGGCGUGCCUAAUACAUGCAAGUAGAACGCUGAAGCGAGGAGCUUGCUCUUCUUGGAUGAGUUGCGAACGGGUGAGUAACGCGUAGGUAACCUGCCUUGUAGCGGGGGAUAACUAUUGGAAACGAUAGCUAAUACCGCAUAACAAUUGAUGACACAUGUCAUUUAUUUGAAAGGGGCAAUUGCUCCACUACAAGAUGGACCUGCGUUGUAUUAGCUAGUAGGUGAGGUAAUGGCUCACCUAGGCGACGAUACAUAGCCGACCUGAGAGGGUGAUCGGCCCCACUGGGACCGAGACACGGCCCAGACUCCCACGGGAGGCAGCAGGAGGGAAUCUUCGGCAAUGGGGGCAACCCUGAACGAGCAACGCCGCGGGAGGGAAGAAGGGUUUCGGAUCGGAAAGAUCUGUUGUAAGUCAAGAAAGGGUGUGAGAGUGGAAAGUUCACACUGUGACGGUAGCUUACCAGAAAGGGACGGCUAACUACGUG
rnacentral:rRNA from 1 species